GGGGGACCUUCGGGCCUCUUGCCAUCGGAUGUGCCCAGAUGGGAUUAGCUAGUAGGUGGGGUAACGGCUCACCUAGGCGACGAUCCCUAGCUGGUCUGAGAGGAUGACCAGCCACACUGGAACUGAGACACGGUCCAGACUCCUACGGGAGGCAGCAGUGGGGAAUAUUGCACAAUGGGCGCAAGCCUGAUGCAGCCAUGCCGCGUGUAUGAAGAAGGCCUUCGGGUUGUAAAGUACUUUCAGCGGGGAGGAAGGGAGUAAAGUUAAUACCUUGGCUCAUUGACGUUACCCGCAGAAGAAGCACCGGCUACCUUAUUGCCAGCAGCCGCCGUAAUCCGGAGGGUGCAAGCGUUAAUCGGAAUUACUGGGCGUAAAGCGCACGCAGCCGUUGC
rnacentral:rRNA from 1 species